rnacentral:lncRNA from 1 species
CAGGACCAGAAGAGAAACGCAUGCCUGUAAUAAGUGAGACAUUAGCAGCCUACAAACAUUGAUAUUGUGAGAAAAGAGUGUCACAGCUCUUAAUAACCUAUAGGGGAAUCAACACAACAGGACAACAACACAAGAAUCUAUCUGUGGAUUCCUGUUGGUACGGAAUCUACUGGAACCUGAUGAGUUCAACUAUGAUUUUGGCUUAUAACUCAGGAUUAAUGAUA